rnacentral:sRNA from 1 species
UUUCUCAGGAAAACGCGUUCGGGCUCA